rnacentral:rRNA from 1 species
CUGGACCCGAAGCGGGGUGAUCUACCCAUGGCCAGUGUGAAGCGGUGGUAAAACAUUGUGGAGGCGCGAACCCACUUAGGUAAAAACUGAGGGGAUGAGCUGUGGGUAGGGGUGAAAGGCCAAUCAAACUCUGUGAUAGCUGGUUCUCCCCGAAAUGCAUUUAGGUGCAGCGUUGCGUGGUUCUUGUUGGAGGUAGAGCUACUGGAUGGCCGAUGGGCCCGUAUGGGUUACUGACGUCAGCCAAACUCCGAAUGCCGGUAAGUGAGAGUGUAGCAGUGAGACAGUGGGGGAUAAGCUUCAUUGUCGAGAGGGAAACAGCCCAGACCAUCAACUAAGGCCCCUAAGCGUGUGCUAAGUGGGAAAGGAUGUGGAGUUGCUGAGACAACCAGGAGGUUGGCUUAGAAGCAGCCAUCCUUGAAAGAGUGCGUAAUAGCUCACUGGUCAAGUGAUUCUGCGCCGAUAAUGUAGCGGGGCUCAAGUACACCGCCGAAGUUGUGGCAAUCAGCUUUUUGUGGCUGGUUGGGUAGGGGAGCGUCCUGCACGAGGUGAAGCCUGGAGGGAACUUCUGGUGGAUUGUGUGGGAGUGAGAAUGCAGGCAUGAGUAACGAAUCUGCGGUGAGAAUCCGCAGCGCCGAUUGACUAAGGGUUCCAGGGCUAGGUUUGUCUGCCCUGGGUGAGUCGGGUCCUAAGGCGAGGCCGACAGGCGUAGUCGAUGGGUAACCAGUUGAUAUUCUGGUACCGGCUUGUCACCGUCCGUGUCGAGGUGUGUGAUGCUAAGCAUGUGAGCUUGUCUUGGGAGUGUUUUUGAUGCUUCUGGGGUGGGUGAGUGUGUGAACCGAUCAUGUAGUAGGCAAGCUGCGGAGGGACGCAGUGAGGUAGCUCAUCCCCGGUGAUGGUUGUCCGGGGCUAAGUGUGUGGACUGUCUGGUAGGUAAAUCCGCUGGGCGUGAAGGUUGAGGCAUGAUGGGGAGCCCAUGGUUGUGGGUGAGUGAGUGAUCCUGUACUGUCGAGAAAAGCUUCGUGAGCGAGGUGGCGGGUCCGCCCGUACCCUAAACCGACACUGGUGGAUAGGUAGAGUAUACCGAGGCGAUCGAGUGAAUCGUGGUGAAGGAACUCGGCAAAAUGCCCCCGUAACUUUGGGAUAAGGGGGACCUGAGCUGUCGUGCACCCGUGCGGUGUGGUGGCGGUGAGGGGCGCAGAGUCCAGGGGGAAACGACUGUUUACCAAAAACACAGGUCCGUGCGAAGUCGUAAGACGAUGUAUACGGACUGACUCCUGCCCGGUGCUGGAAGGUUAAGAGGAGUGCUUAGCGGUAACGCGAAGGUAUGAAUUGAAGCCCCAGUAAACGGCGGCCGUAACUAUAACGGUCCUAAGGUAGCGAAAUUCCUUGUCGGGUAAGUUCCGACCCGCACGAAAGGCGUAACGAUUUGGGCACUGUCUCAACGAUGGACUCGGUGAAAUCAUAGUACCUGUGAAGAUGCAGGUUACCCGCGACAGGACGGAAAGACCCCAUGGAGCUUUACUGUAGCUUGAUAUUGAGUGUCUGUACCACAUGUACAGGAUAGGUAGGAGUCUAUGAGAUCGGGACGCCAGUUUCGAAGGAGACGUUGUUGGGAUACUACCCUUGUGUUAUGGCCACUCUAACCCGGAUAGGUGAUCCCUAUCGGAGACAGUGUCUGACGGGCAGUUUGACUGGGGCGGUCGCCUCCUAAAAGGUAACGGAGGCGCCCAAAGGUUCCCUCAGAAUGGUUGGAAAUCAUUCGCAGAGUGUAAAGGUAUAAGGGAGCUUGACUGCGAGAGCUACAACUCGAGCAGGGACGAAAGUCGGGCUUAGUGAUCCGGUGGUUCCGCAUGGAAGGGCCAUCGCUCAACGGAUAAAAGCUACCCUGGGGAUAACAGGCUUAUCUCCCCCAAGAGUUCACAUCGACGGGGAGGUUUGGCACCUCGAUGUCGGCUCGUCGCAUCCUGGGGCUGGAGUCGGUCCCAAGGGUUGGGCUGUUCGCCCAUUAAAGCGGCACGCGAGCUGGGUUCAGAACGUCGUGAGACA